rnacentral:rRNA from 1 species
AAUCCAUAGGUUAAUGAGGCGAACCGGGGGAACUGAAACAUCUAAGUACCCCGAGGAAAAGAAAUCAACCGAGAUUCCCCCAGUAGCGGCGAGCGAACGGGGAGGAGCCCAGAGCCUGAAUCAGCAUGUGUGUUAGUGGAAGCGUCUGGAAAGGCGCGCGAUACAGGGUGACAGCCCCGUACACAAAAGCGCAUGUGCUGUGAGCUCGAUGAGUAGGGCGGGACACGUGGUAUCCUGUCUGAAUAUGGGGGGACCAUCCUCCAAGGCUAAAUACUCCUGACUGACCGAUAGUGAACCAGUACCGUGAGGGAAAGGCGAAAAGAACCCCGGCGAGGGGAGUGAAAAAGAACCUGAAACCGUGUACGUACAAGCAGUGGGAGCACAGGUUUACCUGUGUGACUGCGUACCUUUUGUAUAAUGGGUCAGCGACUUAUAUUCUGUAGCAAGGUUAACCGAAUAGGGGAGCCGGAGGGAAACCGAGUCUUAAUUGGGCGUUAAGUUGCAGGGUAUAGACCCGAAACCCGGUGAUCUAGCCAUGGGCAGGUUGAAGGUUGGGUAACACUAACUGGAGGACCGAACCGACUAAU